rfam:Piriformospora indica DSM 11827, WGS project CAFZ01000000 data, contig: PIRI_contig_0444
GGGCGCUUGAUCUAGUGGUUAUGAUAUUCGUCUUACACACGAAAUGUCCCCAGUUCGAUCCUGGGAGUGCUCA